UUAACUCAAAAUUGUAAGGAGCCGAAAUUUUUGCCUACCUUUGCCGCUAGGGACGCUGUUCCGAUUGCAUACAAAUUUGAGAUA
rnacentral:pre_miRNA from 1 species